GUUCUGGGGUUUGUGCAAGGGUAGGGUUUUUGAUGGCUGAUCGCAACUCGGCUGUGGCGAAACCCAUAUGGAUGAAACAAGCGGAGGAGGCUAGGAUGAAGAGCGAGGCCGAGAAGGCGGCGGCGGCGAAGGCGGCGUUCGAGGCCACUUUCAAGGACGUUGAGAAGAACAAGGUGGACUCGACGGACAGCGAGGGGGAAGAGGAGGAGCUCGAGGACCUGGCGAGCAAGCCGGUGGGGCCGGUGGACCCCAACAAGUGCACGGCUGCCGGAACCGGCAUCGCAGGGGGCACGGCCUGCGCGCCAUCCUCGUUCGUGGUGGUGACUAAGGACGCCGACGGCCGGAAAGUGCCGAGCGGUGGCGCCGAAAUUAGGGUUAGGGUUUCGCCGGGUGUUGGUGUGGGGGGGUCGGAUCAGGACGGUAUUGUGAAGGAUAUGGGCGAUGGGACUUAUACGGUAACUUACGUGGUUCCCAAAAGGGGAAACUAUAUGGUGAAUGUGGAAUGCAAUGGAAAGGCCAUUAUGGGGAGCCCCUUUCCAGUUUUCUUCAGUCAAGGCACUACUACUGGAGGACUGCUGGGUACGGCUCCAGUGGCAACAUUUCCAAAUUUAAUUAACCAAACCAUGCCCAACAUGCCAAACUAUUCAGGUUCUGUUUCAGGGGCUUUCCCGGGAUUACUUGGAAUGAUCCCUGGUCUUGUUCCCGGUGCAUCAGGGGGAGUAAUGUUGCCUGGGAUUGGAUCAUCACUUGGUGAAGUUUGUCGAGAGUAUCUUAAUGGACGGUGUGUGAAGACUGAUUGUAAAUUUACUCACCCACCUCACAAUCUGCUGAUGACUGCAUUAGCUGCUACAACCAACAUGGGAACUGUGAGUCAAGUUCCAAUGGCACCCUCUGCAGCUGCAAUGGCUGCUGCGCAGGCAAUUGUUGCUGCUCAAGCCCUUCAAGCCCAUGCUGCUCAGGCACAAUCACAAACACAGUCUGCCAAAGACUCUUCUGGAUCAGCUGACAAAGAUAGGAAGGCUGAUACCCUCAAAAAGACACUACAAGUGAGCAACCUUAGCCCACUUCUCACAGUGGAUCAGUUGAAACAACUUUUUAGUUUUUGCGGUACAGUUGUUGAAUGUACUAUAACAGAUUCUAAGCAUUUUGCUUACAUAGAAUAUUCAAAGCCAGAAGAAGCAACUGCUGCUUUGGCAUUGAACAAUAUGGAUGUUGGUGGUCGGCCAUUGAAUGUUGAAAUGGCCAAGUCACUUCCUACAAAGCCACCUCUUUUGAAUUCACCCCUUGCUUCAUCAUCGUUGCCCCUGAUGAUGCAGCAAGCAGUGGCCAUGCAACAGAUGCAGUUUCAGCAGGCUCUCUUAAUGCAACAAGCAAUGACUGCACAGCAAGCAGCUAACAGAGCUGCGACCAUGAAGACUGCAACAGAACUUGCAGCUGCUAGAGCUGCAGAAAUAAGUAAAAGUUUGAAAGCUGCUGCACCUGAGAAUGAUGAUAUGGAAACGGAUAGAAAAUCCAGAUCACCAUCCAAAACGCAAGCAAGGUCAAAGUCCAGGUCUAGAUCCAGAUCAAUGUCCAAGUCAAGGUCUCCUAUCAAUUAUAGGAAAAGGCAAAGGUCUCGGUCUUUCUCCCCUCGAUCCCGUCCUUCAAGAGAUUAUAGGCCUAGAUCACCAUUGAGAUCUCGCCAUUACUCCAGCUAUGAAUAUGAACGGAGGUCCUAUAGGGAUACAAGGGAUGACAAUGACAGAAGUAGGAGAAAGGAUUCAGGCAGGUUGCAUGACCAUCAUUCUUCUGUCUCAAGGAGACACAGGAGUCGUAGUGUGAGUCCUCGAAUGAGAAAAUCAUAUAGAGAUGAUUCUGGCUCUCCCAAACAUGAUCGGGAAAGUUCAAAGCAUAGGACAAGGAAGGCUUCUCGUGCUAGUUCAAGAUCACCAGGGCAUCAUAGAGGAAGUAGGUUAUCUCCUAGAAGUGAUGAUGACAGCAAAUCAAGAAACCGAAGGCGCUCAAGGUCAAAAUCUCAGCAACGCAGGCAUCCCUCUGAUGACCAAAACAAUGGAAAUAGUGAAGGGAAAUCAAAGCACCGGGACAGAAGGCGUUCCAGGUCAGCAUCAGCAGAAGGUAAACGCUAUAGAGGAGGUAGGUUGUCUCCAAGAGAGUCAGAUGAAACCAAAUACAAAAAACACAGAAGGCGCUCCAGGUCAAAGUCUACGGAAUUUAGACAUCUCUCUGAUGGUAAAAAGGAUGGAAAUGGUGAAGAUAACUCAAAGAAUAGAGACAGAAGGUUGUCCCCAACAGUUUUGAAUGAAACCAAAUCAAAACAGAGAAAGCACACAAGGUCAAUAUCACCAGGGGAUAAGCAUCACUCUAGGUAUAGCUUAGAGAGAGGCAGAGAUGAGAAGUCAAAGCAUAGCGAAGGCAGGCGGUCUAGGUCAAUAUCUGCUGAUGAUAAGGAUCGCAAGGGAAGUAGGAAGUCUUUGAAGCAUGCUGAUGAGUCAAAAUCAGGAGGCAGGAGGCCCUCAAGGUCGAAAUCAAUAGAAAAUGAUGACAACAGAAUAGAAGAAAAUAAAGAUGGAAGAUUAAAGCAUAAUGACAGAAUACCUGCCAAAUCUGAUUAUUCCUUUGAGGAUCCAGAUUCUAGGGUUGCUGUUAACUUGGAGGAUGAUCAGACUCCAGUUACUUCUCCAUUAACUUAUGGAAAGAGCUUCUCACAGUAUGACAACUUAAAAGAUGGAGGUGAUAUGGAUAGGCAAGAAGCUUUUGGAGUGGAGGACAGUGGUGAUGAGAAAUCUGAGGAUCCAAAUUCUAGAUGAACAAAAAUUCUGAAGCAUUUUGAGAUUCAUCUUGGAUAUGUCAUUGAAGCUUUGAAAGGAUAGAAUUCUUGCCCUUGCCUGAAGGCAAUCCUUGGAAGAUUGCAUGGUGUUUCUUUUGAUUCUGGAUUACCAUCUGGGACUUUUAGCUCAUCAUUGAAUAAUUCGUUCUCUUUUUUCCUUUUCUUUUUUCAUUCUUUUUUUGGGGAGCUCCCUCCCUUUUUUGCAGGUCCAGUGGGAACAGCUUGAUUAUAAUGUCUGAGUUGAUCUGAUAAGGUUGAUGGAAUUGAGGAAUGUCUACUACUCCCGCUAAUGAUCCACUGUGCGAUAUUUUUAUCGAACUUCUUAGCUGCUUGAUGUCUUACAUGCUGGUUUCUUUGGGCGCUUUUAUCAGAUCAUUUUGGCAAGGUUGUGUCUAUCUGAUUUUAUAUGAAGUUGUGGUUAGGUAAGCAACCCUUAAGGCUGACUGCAACCAGAUGUGUUGCUGAGAGAAUAGCACCAUUGUUACGACAUGUAGCAGAUUGACUAGUACAAUAAAUCCAUGCUGAAUUCAAUGUUGUCUUUAACAGUGGUUUCUUUUUGUUACUUAUUUUUAGGGUGUGCUAUGGAUAUGGUGGAUUGGGAGCUGAAACUGUGGUUUACAACUUCAGGCGUGCUUCAGCAAAAAGCAGAUGCCCAAAUUUCACUCAUUAUGUCUUUUGUUCUUUUUGGUUUCUUUUUCCCCCCCACCUUUUACGCUAUUCCUCCACCUUUUUUUUUUAGGUUUUCUAUGUAAGGAAUAAAUGGAAACAAGAAGCAGUAACUCACUAGAAAGAAUUGGUUUUGUUCACGUGAUCCUGUGUAGCUCCUUGAACUCUUGCUCAAUGUGAGGACUGCAGUGGUCUUCCUAAAUGACCUUUAUUUUAUGAGGUCAGAAUUUGGCUUUUACUCAGAUUAGGAUGUUGGUUAUGGUGUGUACAACUCUGAAUUGCUGUGAUUAUUUGAAUUUGACUGUUAUAAAAAAAGGGAUGUUAGUAAA